rnacentral:lncRNA from 1 species
CUCGUUGUGAUGGCACACAGAGUCAAUGAAUUCAGCCAGGGCACAGAGGACAUCCCGCAGAGGGUGGGUGAUUCAACAGGGCAUUUGGGGCUGUGACUGAGUGCAUCUAUGGGAAGUGUGAGCAUCCAGUGAGAACCAGGGCCCCACAAAGCCCUCGUUUCAGCAGGAUUGCUUCACCAAGAACCAGAUGCUUAUGGACAGCUCAGGAACCUAGGUUAGGCAAACCAUAUGCAAUCAGGAAUUAAUUUCCACAUAGGAUGGUGUUUUCAAUGAGAAGUAAUAUUAGGCAAAGACUGAAAAAUAUGGUUACUGUGCUGUUAUAGCAUGAGAUGAGAAAAUCAAGUAUGAAGAGAAGAUAGAAAAGGAGAAGACUUGUGAACAGCUGGAAAAGUGUCUUGGAAGAAUUGGGAACUGGAAAAAAAGUAAGCUUCAAGACCAGGCAGAAGUCUAGUGUUAACAGUUUUUAACAUGGCAUAUUCUAUCUUGGACUAUGAGGGAAGCAUGGUGACUUUUGUGAUAGAUAUCCAGACAGUGUUGGUCAUAUUUGGAACAGAUCAUUCUGUGUCCACCUCUUACAACAUUCAGCCUCCAAUGUCCUCAGAGAGUUCCUGUCAAUAGCACAGCAUGAUGCAUUUACUGGGCAGUGAACCUGAUGCAAAUCUGCCCCUGCUGCUCACAGUCCCAGAACCCAGCAUGAGUACUGGUAGAGAGCAAACAUCACUGUCUUCAAGGAAGGUACUUGAAUGCUUUGCUAGACUGAGAUCUCCCAGAUGCUUUUACUUGCUAAUUCCCACACAAGGCUAAAGAUCCCUGGACACUGUGACACCUCUCCCAGUCUGCAGUCACAUGUAUUUGGCCAACGUGGGCAGGCUGACCAGAAUGUCAGCAGGACAGGAGCAUCACAGGGAUGCACAGGAACCAGGUGGGUACCACGCUAUUCCUUCCAGGCAUAUUCCCUGCUUGGCUCCACAACCCCUCCUUGGUGGCAACUGAGCAAAGAAAAAAAGCUUUACACAGAUACUGUCCCACAGAACUUCAUGGGGUGGUCUGAAAUGUCAUCUUCAUCUACUAAAACAAACGUGGUUAACCACAGUGAGGCCUCUGCAGAAACAAAAAAGCAGAAAAAUGCCAUGUAUUCUGCAGAGGUGAUUAAAUUGCAUGUCCUGUAAGUUCUUCUUAUUAUAAUCACUUUUGAUAUGCCCUGUGUAGCAUUCAUCUGGCUUUCAUCCCUACCUCUGUCUGCUGUUUGUGGCUGAAGAAAAAGUGACGUUUAUUUUGAGCUAAAAGACAGCUUUGUUCCAGACCAGAUGUCUCAUUCACUAUGCAUAUGUCAGCCCUGCAGGUGCUAUCUCAGACUCAAGAAACAGCAAGUUUUUCAAAUAACAAUGCAAUGUCAAGAUAUUACUUGCACAAAAUAAUAAAACACUUUCUCAGCUUCA